UUAUAUAUAAAAGCCGUCUCUAAUAUAUACCGUAGGAAAAGUUAAGCAAUGUAAAUAAAAUCAAGCCAAGGAUAAUUAUGGAAAAGGAGCUUUUUCAGAAUUUCUCUAACAACUUCACGCAAGAAGCUUCUCUGAGCUGAGAAAAAACAAGCUUUCUCCGUAAGCUUCUCUAAAACUUCAAGCGAGAAACUUCUCCGCUCAUGAAGGAUUAGCAAAAACAAAGAAGAGAAUCAAAACUUGGCCAAAUCAUGACCGUCUCGUGGCUGGUGUGAUUUUUCUUCUGUUAUCGAUGGCUGGAACCCUUUUUAUUGAAUCGGUGGGUAUAAACAGAAUCCAGUUCUUGUUGGAGAGCCUGUAAGACCUUGACUUAAGUUUGAAAAAACUUAGGUCGAGAUUGUUGUUGUUGAAGGAUGAUCCUAGUUAGGUUUUGAUUCACUGCUUAAAAAAGGUUUUUGGUAGUGGGAUGUGAAAAAGCUUUGCUUUGAGUACGACACUGAUCCAUAUUAUCAAGCUUUGGAUAAUAAAGUUAAGACUCAUGCUGCUACAGCUGGAGUCGAGGUUUUCUCUCCAGUGAGUCAAACACUCU